UUCGCGGAUCCCACGGUGACCAGUCAUGGUCAAAUAUUUGCUCCUACUUCCUCCAUCUUAUUUGCAUCUCUUGGUGUGAAUAACAAAUUUGUUACAUUGCAAAUUGCGCGCUAAGUCCACAUCCCACAAUCUCCCGGAGACGGUCAACGGGCAGCCAAAUAAAUGUGAUGCAAAUCACUUCCAACAUGGAUUUUGAUUGGAUUUACAGUGAUCUCUGUUUGGAUGUACCAGUGCUAUUAAUAACCGCGAUUUACCAUAACCAGACGCAAGAUUCAAGUGCAGGCAUGGAGAAGUUCACCAGAUUAGUUGACUCCACUAUAAUGAUAACCCAAAAAUAGAUCCUUUUUCGAGUGCAUUUGCUGCAGUUGGCUUCAUCUGCUCUGCACGAUAUUGAUUCUUGGUUUCAUAUUAGGGGUGUUUGUUUAUCAUGUUUAGGGAGUUUUUUAACCGUUGAAAUUCUUAUUUAUUGAGAAAAAAGGAGAUUUUUUAAAAAAAGAAAAAAUGAGUGAUUGUGCUAGUUGGGUAAGAUUAAGGACUCUAUGCAUAAAACGACUUCUUUUGAGAAAACUUUUACAGUUUACAUGACUUUUUCUUUAAGAAAAAAUCCUAGAAUUGUCUAACUAAUAAGAAUAUUUGUUGAAAAGUUGAAAAAAAUUAAGAAAAGGAGUAUUUUGCAAAAAAUCCUUAAUGUUACCCAAGCAGCACAAUAUAAUUUUUCAAUAUCAACAUUCAGGAACCAAGAAUCAAAAAUUACGCUAUGUAUGAAUCAAAAGGACCCCAAACUCUCCCACGCGUGUUUCUGUUUUUUUUAGAGAAAAAAAAAUGUGUGACUUUCUCACCUUUAGUGUCAACAAGAAAAGAAGUCAGAAAUGCGAAAAGGAAGAGAAAUUGGCCCCUAUAAAAAUAUUCCCACCGCCCAAUCGUCUUAUACACGGAGGACGGUACCUUUUGUCCCCGUGGGUGCGGGUGUAAAAAAUUGCCUGCGAUUGUGAUUUAAUGCCACCAAGAUCGGAUCAUUGCGAACAACAUUUUCGAUUCAUCGCGCACACCUUCCUUUGCCAGAGCGCUAUUUUGUCUGCAAAUGGACAAUGGAGAGAGGGAUCCCAGAGAAAAAUACAAAGGAUCAGAGGUUGAUUUUGUGCUGGAAUUUUUGAUUUCGACGGGAGAUUUGCACUGCGCGCGUUUUUUAUAUACAGACCCUGAAUUUUUAUACCUGACUUCCCAUUGCCACGAAUGUGCACCGUCUUCUGAAUUAUGUCCCAAACGGACAUCAUGAUAAAUGCAAGUUUUGCCACAAGAAAAGGCAUCCCUCUCCACAUGGCUACAAUUCACAAGUCUCCUUUGGGAGAAGUUUAUUUAGCGAUCCGGGGCGGUGAAGAUCGCAUUUUCAUAUUUCUUCCUCUCAGGGUCUUUCUUUACUUUUUUUUUUACCUUCACCUAAAUGUUGCACAACCGACCCAUCCCCCAUUUGAUUGACUCUCAGAUUCACGAGAGAUUCUCUAUUUUUUAAUCUAAAAAAUACAAAAAAAAAUAUACGAAAGUGUUCGAUGUUUUCUUAAGCGAUUUUUUUGUGCUGACCCCUCGAAGAUGGAUGGUCAAUUUUCUUAUAAAACUUUAAGAAAAGGGCAAGAAAAAAAACGGUAUAAAAUGUGAUUUCUUUUGCGAUUGAAAAACCCAUACCAUUUAUCUUGAGGAGAAGAAGGGCAAAGAAAUAUAAAUGUGGGACGUUCGUAGCGUUCUUGUUUGCCAAAGGACAAAUAAGGGAUGGAAAGGGCAAGUGAAAAUGAUAUCUUGCCAAGACGAUCUUUGCAACACACAAAACUUUUGGCCCUUUUUGUGCUACAAACAUUCACUAAUUGAUGCAUUUUAUUCCCUUUCUCACCAUCUUCGCGGAGGACUUAAAAGUUUACAGCGAAGAGAGUGAUUUUAGGGGCUGUAAAUUGGUUUAAAUAAAGUCGUUUUUGCA